GACGAACGCUGGCGGCGUGCCUAAUACAUGCAAGUCGAACGCUUCUUUCCUCCCGAGUGCUUGCACUCAAUUGGAAAGAGGAGUGGCGGACGGGUGAGUAACACGUGGGUAACCUACCCAUCAGAGGGGGAUAACACUUGGAAACAGGUGCUAAUACCGCAUAACAGUUUAUGCCGCAUGGCAUAAGAGUGAAAGGCGCUUUCGGGUGUCGCUGAUGGAUGGACCCGCGGUGCAUUAGCUAGUUGGUGAGGUAACGGCUCACCAAGGCCACGAUGCAUAGCCGACCUGAGAGGGUGAUCGGCCACACUGGGACUGAGACACGGCCCAGACUCCUACGGGAGGCAGCAGUAGGGAAUCUUCGGCAAUGGACGAAAGUCUGACCGAGCACGCCGCGUGAGUGAAGAAGGUUUUCGGAUCGUAAAACUCUGUUGUUAGAGAAGAACAAGGACGUUAGUAACUGAACGUCCCCUGACGGUAUCUAACCAGAAAGCCACGGCUAACUACGUG
rnacentral:rRNA from 1 species